CCUACUGGCGGCAGCAGUGGGGCAUAUUGGGCAAUGGGCGCAAGCCUGACCCAGCAACGCCGCGUGAAGGAAGAAGGCCCUCGGGUUGUAAACUUCUUUUUUCAGGGACGAAGCAAGUGACGGUACCUGACGACUAAGCCACGGCUAACUACGUGCCAGCAGCCGCGGUAAUACGUAGGUGGCAAGCGUUAUCCGGAUUUACUGGGUGUAAAGGGCGUGUAUGCGGGGAAGCAAGUCAGAUGUGAAAACCACGGGCUCAACCUGUGGCCUGCAUUUGAAACUGGUUUUCUUGAGUACUGGAGAGGCAGACGGAAUUCCUAGUGUAGCGGUGAAAUGCGUAGAUAUUAGGAGGAACACCAGUGGCGAAGGCGGUCUGCUGGACAGCAACUGACGCUGAGGCGCGAAAGCGUGGGGAGCAAACAGGAUUAGAUACCCUUGUAGUC
rnacentral:rRNA from 1 species